rnacentral:rRNA from 1 species
GAAUAUUGCGCAAUGGGCGAAAGCCUGACGCAGCAACGCCGCGUGAGGGAUGACGGCCUUCGGGUUGUAAACCUCUUUCAGCUCCGACGAAGCCGCAAGGUGACUGUAGGAGCAGAAGAAGCACCGGCUAACUACGUGCCAGCAGCCGCGGUAAUACGUAGGGUGCGAGCGUUGUCCGGAAUUAUUGGGCGUAAAGAGCUCGUAGGCGGUCUGUUACGUCUGCUGUGAAAACCCGGGGCUCAACCCCGGGCCUGCAGUGGAUACGGGCAGACUAGAGUCCGGCAGGGGAGACUGGAAUUCCUGGUGUAGCGGUGAAAUGCGCAGAUAUCAGGAGGAACACCGGUGGCGAAGGCGGGUCUCUGGGCCGGAACUGACGCUGAGGAGCGAAAGCGUGGGGAGCGAACAG